rnacentral:rRNA from 1 species
CGCGUAUAGAACCUACCUUGUAGUAAGGGAUAGCCCAGAGAAAUUUGGAUUAAUACCUUAUAGUAUCCUAAGUGAGCAUUCAUUAAGGAUUAAAGAUUUAUUGCUACAAGAUGGCUAUGCGUUCUAUUAGUUAGUUGGUAAGGUAACGGCUUACCAAGACAUCGAUAGAUAGGGGCCCUGAGAGGGGGAUCCCCCACACUGGUACUGAGACACGGACCAGACUCCUACGGGAGGCAGCAGUGAGGAAUAUUGGACAAUGGAGGCAACUCUGAUCCAGCCAUGCCGCGUGUAGGAAGACUGCCCUAUGGGUUGUAAACUACUUUUAUAGAGGAAGAAACCCCGAUAUGUAUAUCGGUUUGACGGUACUCUACGAAUAAGGAUCGGCUAACUCCGUGCCAGCAGCCGCGGUAAUACGGAGGAUCCAAGCGUUAUCCGGAAUCAUUGGGUUUAAAGGGUCCGUAGGCGGGUUUGUAAGUCAGUGGUGAAAGUUUUCGGCUCAACCGGAAAAUUGCCAUUGAUACUGCAAGUCUUGAAUCAUUAUGAAGUGGUU